rnacentral:rRNA from 1 species
AACGAACGCUGGCGGCAUGCCUAACACAUGCAAGUCGAACGAGACCUUCGGGUCUAGUUGCUCACGGGUGCGUAACGCGUGGGAACCUGCCCUUAGGUUCGGAAUAACUCCCCGAAAGGGGUGCUAAUACCGGAUAAUGUCUUCGGACCAAAGAUUUAUCGCCUUUGGAUGGGCCCGCGUUGGAUUAGCUAGUUGGUAGGGUAAAAGCCUACCAAGGCGACGAUCCAUAGCUGGUCUGAGAGGAUGAUCAGCCACACUGGGACUGAGACACGGCCCAGACUCCUACGGGAGGCAGCAGUGGGGAAUAUUGGACAAUGGGCGAAAGACUGAUCCAGCAAUGCCGAGUGAGUGAUGAAGGCCUUAGGGUUGUAAAGCUCUUUUACCCGGGAUGAUAAUGACAGUACCGGGAGAAUAAGCUCCGGCUAACUCCGU